AGGCAGCCCCCUUCCUUUAAAAAGAAAAUGGGGAGGGAGGUGUUAAUCUGCUCGGAAAUUGAUCUUGUGCUCUUCAGACUUUGCCGAGAUUGAUUUUUCAAUCUUUGAAGCUGGUCUAGUAACGCAUAAGUACAUU